rnacentral:rRNA from 1 species
AUUGAACGCUGGCGGCAGGCCUAACACAUGCAAGUCGAACGAGGGGCGGACGGGUGAGUAAUGUCUGGGACACUGCCUGAGGGGGGGGUAUAAACACGGGAAACGGUAGCUAAUACCGCAUACCAUCAGAUGUGCCCAGAUGGGAUUAGCUUGGUGGUGGGGUAACGGCUCACCAAGGCGACGAUCCCUAGCUGGUCUGAGAGGAUGACCAGCCACACUGGGACUGAGACACGGUCCAGACUCCUACGGGAGGCAGCAGUGGGGAAUAUUGCACAAUGGGCGCAAGCCUGAUGCAGCCAUGCCGCGUGUAUGAAGAAGGCCUUCGGGUUGUAAAGUACUUUCAGCGGGGAGGCGUUACCCGCAGAAGAAGCACCGGCUAACUCCGUGCCAGCCGCCGCGGUAAUUC